UACGUAGGGUGCAAGCGUUGUCCGGAAUUAUUGGGCGUAAAGAGCUCGUAGGCGGUUUGUCGCGUCGGCUGUGAAAACUCGGGGCUCAACCCCGAGCCUGCAGUCGAUACGGGCAGACUAGAGUGCUGUAGGGGAGACUGGAAUUCCUGGUGUAGCGGUGAAAUGCGCAGAUAUCAGGAGGAACACCGGUGGCGAAGACGGGUCUCUGGGCAGUAACUGACGCUGAGGAGCGAAAGCGUGGGGAGCAAACAGG
rnacentral:rRNA from 1 species